GUUCCACCGGCACCACAUUUGCUCAGGCCAAUCUACACCCCAUGGCCAUUAAAAGUUAUUCAAAUCAUGACGCUGCACCCCACGGUUAAGGUUCUAGGGGGCGCCAAAGAUAACCCUAAAAUCCACAUAUUUAAAAGUCUUAUAACUUUUUAUUUUUGUCCUCACUGGCCUCCAAGUUUUCUAGGAUGAUGCAAUGUCCAGCCAUCAACACAUUUGUGAAGGAAUUUUUACUCCCCAAAAGAGCGCCCCCCCAUGGCAGGAGAAAAAAGUCCAUUUUUUCUUGUCCCCUAAGGUGAAAAUACAUAUUGUUGAGAUUCAAGCCUAUACGCUUGGUCAUAUUGACACAAAAUUUGACAAUCACGUGUAUCUCAAUAAGAUCUACGAAAAAGUCAAUGCGCGCGUAUCUGUCAAAUGUACGGUUCAAGGGUUAUUCCGCAUUUUUUGCCGAUCCGCACACAUUGGAAUGUGGCUAACUCCUCCUAAGGCUUUCGUUCCACCGGCACCACAUUUGCUCAGGCCAAUCUACACCCCAUGGCCAUUAAAAGUUAUUCAAAUCAUGACGCUGCACCCCACGGUUUACGUUCUAGGGGGCGCCAAAGAUAACCCUAAAAUCCACAUAUUUCAAAGUCUUAUAACUUUUUAUUUUUGUCCUCACUGGCCUCCAAGUUUUCUAGGAUGAUGCGAUGUCCAGCCAUCAACACAUUUGUGAAGGAAUUUUUACUCCCCAAAAGAGCGCCCCCCCCAUGGCAGGAGAAAAAAGUCCAUUUUUUCUUGUCGCCUAAGGUGAAAAUUCACAUUGUUGAGUGUGACACCUGUACGCUUUGUCAUAUUGACACAAAAUUUGACAAUCACGUGUAUCUCAAUAAGAUCUACGAAAAAGUCAAUGCGCGCGUAUCUGUCAAAUGUACGGUUAAAGGGCUAUUUUGCAUUUUUUGCCGAUUCGCACACAUUGGAAUGUGGCUAACUCCUCCUAAGGCUUUCGUCCCACUGACACCAAAUUUGCUCAGGCCAAUCUACACCCCAUGGCCAUUCAAAGUUGUAAAAAUCAUGACGCUGCACCCCACGGCUCACGUUCUAGGGGGCGUCAAAGAUGACCCAAAAAUCCACAUUCUUAAAAGAAUCCACAUCCCCCCCCCCAGCCCCCCAAGGCAGGAGAAAAAGUCAAGUUUUUCCUGCCCAUCGCUCAAUGGCUCAAUCGCAUCGCUCUCCCGGCAACACCGUAAGGAGGAGCAACCUGCCAUUUGGAUAUAUCCUAGCUGUGUUUGUGCCCUCACUCAUGGUCCAGACUUUUUUCAAAUAGGACAUUUAGUUUGUCUGCAGCGAGUGUUUUGGUAGAAACUGCGCCUCCCAUUCAUUAUAAUGGGAAAUGACCACAGACAAGUGCGCACACCAUCUUUGGACCUUGAGUGUGACGCGAUCGGGAGGGGGAGGCGGUCGCGCUGGGGGCGGCGCGACACGGCUCGGGCCCGACAGUGCCCCACCGGGGCCCUAGUUCUUUCUUUAGGGCCCGAGCCAGCUGCAGAGCAGCCGGGCGUAGAGCCCUAUUAUUCCUGUAUAGGUUUUUUAGGGCCCGAGCGUAGCUGCUAAGCAGCUGCGAGAGCCCUCUUGUUCCUGCAUGUUUCCUUCUUUUGUUAUUAUUAGGGCCCGAGCCAGCUGCAGAGCAGCCGGGCGUAGGCCCUAUUAUUCCCCAAGUGGUUUUUCUUUGUUUCUUUCUUUCUUUCUUUCUUUCUUCUUUUUCCUCCCCUUUGAACUGGAAAAUGGCCCACUUCCCACUGGCGAAAACUCAUGAAAUUUGGCAGGACGACCGGGCCUGGUGAAAAAUUCGAUAUUCUGAAGUCGCCCAAACAAUAAAAUGCAAAAUGGCUCCAUAGCGCCCCCUAAGGUGGAAAUUCACACUAUUGACUGUCACGCCUGUACGCUUUGUCAUAUUGACACAAAAAUUGACACACAUAUGUAUCUCAAUAAGAUCUACAAAAAAGUCAGUGCGGCCGUAUCUGUCAAAAUUACGGUUAAAGGGUUAUUUCGCAUUUUUUGCCGAUCCGCACACAUUGGAAUUUCGCUAACUCCUCCGAAGGCUUUCGUUCCACCGGCACCACAUUUGCUCAGGCCAAUCUACACCCCGUGGCCAUUAAAAGUUAUCAAAAUCAUGACGCUGCACCCCAAGGUUUAGGUUCUAGGGGGCGCCAAAGAUAACACUAAAAUCCACAUAUUUAAAAGUCUUAUAACUUUUUAUUUUUGUCCUCACUGGCCUCCAAGUUUUCUAGGAUGAUGCAAUGUCCAGCCAUCAACACAUUUGUGAAGGAAUUUUUACUCCCCAAAAGAGCGCCCCCCAUGGCAGGAGAAAAAAGUCCAUUAUUUCUUGUCCCCUAAGGUGAAAAUACACAUUGUUGAGUGUCACGCCUAUACGCUUUGUCAAAAUGACACAAAAAUUGACACACACAUGUAACUCAAUAAGAUCUACAAAAAAGUCCAUGCGCGCGUAUCUGUCAAAUGUACAGUUAAAGGGUUAUUCCGCAUUUUUUGCCGAUACGCACACAUUGGAAUUUCGCUAACUCCUCCGAAGGCUUUCGUUCCACCGGCACCACAUUUGCUCAGGCCAAUCUACACCCCAUGGCCAUUAAAAGUUAUUCAAAUCAUGAUGCUGCACCCCAUGGUUUAGGUUCUAGGGGGCGCCAAAAAUAACCCAAAAAUCCACAUUCUUAAAUGUUUUAUAACUUUUUAUUUUUGUCCUCACUGGCCUCCAAGUUUUCUAGGAUGAUGCAAUGUCCAGCCAUCAACACAUUUGUGAAGGAAUUUUUACUCCCCAAAAGAGCGCCCCCCCCAUGGUAGGAGAAAAAAGUCAAGUUUUUCUUGUCCCAUAAAAUAAAAAUACACAUUGUUGAGUGUCACGCCUGAACGCUUUGUCAUAUUGACACAAAAAUUGACAAUCAUGUGUAUCUCAAUUAGAUCUACGAAAAAGUCAAAGAGCGCGUAUCUGUAUAAUGUACGGUUAAAGGGCUAUUUUGCAUUUUUUGCCGAUUCGCACACAUUGGAAUGUGGCUAUCUCCUCCUAAGGCUUUCGUCCCACCGAUACCAAAUUUGCUCAGGGCAAUCUACACCCCAUGCCCAUUCAAAGUUGUAAAAAUCAUGACGCUGCACCCCACGGUUUACGUUCUAGGGGGCGCCAAAGAUGACCCAAAAAUCCACAUUCUUAAAAGUCAUUUUGGCCACUGCAGGAGUACAGAGUACUGCAGUUCUAGGGGGCGCCAAAGAUGACCCAAAAAUCCACAUUCUUAAAAGUCUUUUUGGCCACUGCAGGAGUACAGAGUACUGCAGGAUACACACACAUAUACACACACGCCAACAUACACACACACACACACACACACACACACACACACACACACACACACACACACACACACACACACACACAACACACACACACACUCAGAGUCUGUUUUUUAGCACCUGCAAAAACAUGCUGUUUACAUAUUUGACAAGAAUGCAGAGGCUUCCUUUUGCCCCUGAAAAAAAUCAAAUUUCAAACACAACUUGACUGUUCAUUUCUCCAAAAGACAACCAUGAAGCUCCAUUUCAAACCUGAAGCAGAUAGUUGGUGCAUGUGUACAGUAACCUGAGGGGAGUGAGGUGACUAUUUCUGAGGAGAACAUGAGCAGUGAAGAUUCACCUUGGAGCUAGAACAGGGACGUGCACAUGAUUAUACAGGGGCAGGGGCUCAAGUUUUUUCCAGUCAUUUAUACAAUAUGGAAAUUAAUGUGAAAUUAAACCACAAAUAUGUGUGAUGAACUGUUUUUAAAACUUAAACUUCAAAUAAAAAUUGUAAACUUCAAAACAUAUGCAAAUUUUUAACAAAGAACAUAGUGAUUUACCUCUAUUUACAUCAAAAUGCAGGCAAUGGCCCAGGCGUUCUUUGUAAAAUUAUUUACAAAACACUGUAUAGUCUCACAAAUGUCACUUUUUAUUUAUGCCACUACAAAAAAACAUGAUGUAAAUGAUGCAUGAUGUAAAACAUGAUGUAAAAAACUUGUGUAGAUCCUCCUCUAUGUCAGUCCAUGUGUAAUUUUUCCAUAAUUCUUUGUUUUUUGCAGCAUUUUUGUUAGUGUAACUGCAGAUUGUGCUGACAGUGUCUAUGGCACAAAAAAAAAUAAAAAUUAAAAUGCCUCAACAUGAACCCCUGGUGGUCUCUGAGGGUGAAACCUGCUAACUGCUGCAGCUCUGUCAGCUUCAGUCUCCCAUGCAGAGCUCGGAGCGCAUGUGUGGCUCUGCACCCUUAGCAGCGUUGCUAACUCCUCAGUAAGGAAAGCCUGCUUCAUGUCAGAGUCUCUAAACUCCAGAAGAAGUCGAUAAAAGUCACUUUCUUUCUAAAAAAAGUCGUUAGGGGGUCUGAAAAGUAAUUGAAUCUAACAACAAAGUCGCUAGGUUUGCAACUACGUGUCCCAGACUGCAUCCCUGCUGAGAGUCCCUCCCUCCCUUCUCAUGUUGCAGGAAGAACGUAAGCGCACGCCCCUUGUCAAUCAGUCACCAUAUAAUUUUGGAUUGGUUGUUGUGGUGAAGUUUUCCACCAAUAGGAGAGAUGUUGUGGUGUGUUUUUUUUUUCUUUUGGCAAGCCUUUUCCGCCUGUAAGACCUGUCGCUAAUGUCUGCAUGCUAUGUUUUCCUGUCUCAUACAGCGCGAUCGAGCGCCGAACGUGAUCAAAAUAAGCAGAAAAAAAGUAUCGCGGACAUAAUUUAUCAUAACUCUGGUUUUAUUUGGCCUAUCAACACAAUUUAAAAACUGGUAUAUAGGUUGAGGUCCUCACUUUUGAGAUAAGUUGAAACGGAGAGUCAACGAGGCUCCGUCUUGCAGCUACAUCCGGUUAAAUAUGUCAUGUGACUUGAACGCACACACAGACACACACACACACACACACACACACACACACACACACACACACACACACACACACACACACACACACUCAGAGUCUGGUUUUUAGCACCUGCAAAAACAUGCUAUUUACAUAUUUGACAAGAAUGCAGAGGCUCCUUUUGCCCCUGAAAAAAAUCAAAUUUCAAACACAACUUGACUGCUCAUUUCUCCAAAAGACAACCAUGAAGCUCCAUCCAAACCUGAAGCAGGCAGUUGGUGCAUGUGUACAGUAACCUGAGGGGAGUGAGGUGAGUGCUUCUGAGGAGAACAUGAGCAGUGAAGAUUCACCUUGGAGCUAGAACAGAGACAUGCACAUGAUUAUACAGGGGCAGGGGCUCAAGUUUUUUCCAGUCGUUUAUACAAUAUGGAAAUUAAUGUGAAAUUAAAACACAAAGUAUUAAUAGAAAGGUAAUGACUGUCCUGUGUAGGUGACAGUGAUAUCGAAUAGGCUAGGCACUCACGAGGCUGGCUGUGGCAAGUGUAAGUGAAAGCAACACGCACUGGCAGGAAGAACAGCAAACGCCGAUGAAGGAAAAGGGUCUUUGCAGUGAUGGGCGUUACCAGAGAGGGCGAUGGCCAGAGGACACAAAUGGGACGGGGAGGCAGCACGUUGGGGGGGGACGCGACACGGCUCGGGCCCGCCAGUGCCCCAACGGGGUCCUAGUUAUUAUUUUUCCUCCCCUUUGAACUGGAAAAUGGCCCACUUCCCACUGGCGAAAACUCAUGAAAUUUGGCAGGACGACCGGGCCUGGUGAAAAAUUUGAUAUUCCGAAGUCGCCCAAACAAGAAAAUGCAAAAUGGCUCCAUAGCGCCCCCUAAGGUGAAAAUUCACACUAUUGACUGUCACACGUGUACGCUUUGUCAAAAUGACACAAAAAUUGACACACACAUGUAUCUCAAUAAGAUCUACAAAAAAGUCAGUGUGGGCGUAUCUGUCAAAUGUACGGUUAAAGGGUUAUUUCGCAUUUUUUGCCGAUCCGCACACAUUGGAAUUUCGCUAACUCCUCCGAAGGCUUUCGUUCCACCGGCACCACAUUUGCUCAGGCCAAUCUACACCCCAUGGCCAUUAAAAGUUAUUCAAAUCAUGACGCUGCACCCCACGGUUUAGGUUCUAGGGGGCGCCAAAGAUAACCCUAAGAUCCACAUAUUUAAAAGUCUUAUAACUUUUUAUUUUUGCCCUCACUGGCCUCCAAGUUUUCUAGGAUGAUGCAAUGUCCAGCCAUCAACACAUUUGUGAAGGAAUUUUUACUCCCCAAAAGAGCGCCCCCCCAUGGCAGGAGAAAAAAGUCCAUUUUUUCUUGUCCCCUAAGGUGAAAAUACACAUUGUUGAGUGUAACACCUGUACGCUUUGGCAAAAUGACA